rnacentral:rRNA from 1 species
UAGGGAAUCUUCGGCAAUGGACGAAAGUCUGACCGAGCAACGCCGCGUGAGUGAAGAAGGUUUUCGUAUCGUAAAACUCUGUUGUUAGAGAAGAACAAGGACGUUAGUAACUGAACGUCCCCUGACUGUAUCUAACCAGAAAGCCACGGCUAACUACGUGCCAGCAGCCGCGGUAAUACGUAGGUGGCAAGCGUAGUCCGGAUUUAUUGGGCGUAAAGCGAGCGCAGGCGGUUUCUUAAGUCUGAUGUGAAAGCCCCCGGCUCAACCGGGGAGGGUCAUUGGAAACUGGGAGACUUGAGUGCAGAAGAGGAGAGUGGAAUUCCAUGUGUAGCGGUGAAAUGCGUAGAUAUAUGGAGGAACACCAGUGGCGAAGGCGGCUCUCUGGUCUGUAACUGACGCUGAGGAUCGAAAGCGUGGGGAACAAACAGG